rnacentral:tRNA from 1 species
GGGCCCAUAGCUCAAUGGCAGAGCACCCGGUUUGCAUCCGGGAUAUCGGGGUUCGAUUCCCCGUGGGUCCA